GCAGGUGUCCCCGCAAUGUGUGAUGGCCUGCCAUGAGGGACGGGGUGUCCAACAAGGGCGACACGGGUGAUGACAGCAACGUGGAAAGCGGAGUCGCUGCGAGCGCCAGCAGACAUGUGAUGGCGGACGCGUCUCUCGGGAGGUGCAGCCGGCGCAAGCCCGCCGCCCCCUGGCGCAGCCGGCCGCCGCAGGCGGGCGCCGACGACGCAGACGUCGACUGGCCGCUCGGAGACACCGCUUCCAGGCUGCAGG